rnacentral:lncRNA from 1 species
UCUAUAAAUACAAUUUCAAACCAGUAUUGAGGUCAAGUAAUUUCAUUCAACAACCUUGGACGGAGUAAGAAAACAUGGGAUUGUUGUGAUACAUGGCUGAUAAGAGCACAAUGAAGGCAAAAAAGCCCAUUGAAAUUUGGAUUUUCCAUCCCUGAUAAGCUGUCAGUAGGUAGAUGAUACUCACAUCUCAAAGAUAAAUUUAGAAGUAAAAUUUUACCAAUAAGGAAUUUGAAGGGUUUUCAUCUGCAGUUGCUUUAGCAUGUUGAGGUGGAGAUUCCAUCGCUCGAAUUCUUUGGAGUGUAUGUGCAGGGUUACUAAUGCGCAAGUCCACUUCCACUGACCUGCUCAUAGCAGCAAAAUUCCGAGCAGUAUGCUCUGCUGCCUGUAAGUAUUUAUAAAGCAGUAUGUGAGUGAUUGGUAAAUAAAACAAAGGUUAAAAUUAACUAAUGAAGAAUACAUCAUUAUGUCAAUGACAAAUCAUAAAAAAACACUCGAGUACAACAGGAAGUCAUUUCAAAGGUCAAUGGGUUUGUUCAAACUAAUAAAUCUCCUGCAUCUACUUUAAAAAUGGAGAAAUAAUAAAGAAAUGUACCAUCUUCUCAAUAAAUUACUGUCCACUAAAAGACUGAUGAAGAAUAAUUAACACCAGCUUGCUAACAGUAAUAACUCUUUUUGAAGAGGUGAAGUACAACGAAGACGAUCCAACACGCUUUUCAGCGAAAACAGUUAUGCGGUGGCGAUGUAUCUAGACUUUCUUUUCCCUACCUGAACAUGCCAGGGGCGACUGUUUACCAACAGAACAUUGGUCGCGUUUCAGGCUUAUCAUUCGCCACGUCCGCUUGGCUCAUUCCCGGUUACGUAGAUCCCUCUUUGAAUUUCAAUUGGAUGUUUUCCACUGCCGGCUCUCUCGUCGUUUCUAUAAGACGUGACCUUCGGUUAUUCGCAACGUGAUUUUUUUGCUCUUUUCCUGCAGUAGACGACGGAAAAACAAGAAAACAAGUAAAUAGCUCCAGGCUGGCCUCGAGGACAAACGAAGGCUAAACAGCAAGAAAGAACCGGGAACUUGUCUAGCGUAAGUAAUUUGUUCCCAUGGUUCCAAAUUGUUCCUGACCUUGCAAAAGUCAAAUAAAAGACACAUACGUAACGUUGAAGAAAUUUUGGCGCAAAUGCAGGUGUUAACGGCAAUCAAAAAUUGUGGUCAGAUACAAUUUUGAGUUUUACACAGACCACGCCCCGUGUACUAAAGAAAACCGCGAAUGCGUAGAGAACGAUUUAAAAAAGAUAACAACGGCCUUGGACGGUCGGUUUGAUUUCAUGUUAAGCACAACAACAACAUUUGGAAAUAACAUUGCUCUUGUAAACAUAAAUUAGUAUGCCUCUUCUCUAUUCAAUUUUGUACGUUAAAAGCUGCGUGGAUAAUUGUUCUCUGUGAUUCAAUAACAACGUUAAAUAGCAUUAAUAUCUUGGAAGGCACCUGUUUUGCAUUGAUAUCGUAGCUAUGUUUUUCAUUGAUGCGUUAAAAUGGAAGACUCCAACGUAGCAUAGCGAGCAGCCAUGGAGUCAUACAGCUAAAAUAAAAUAUAUUAAUAAGUUCUAAUUUUAGCAAAUGAAACAGGGAAUGAACUUUAGUACCUUGGCUGCUUCGACUCUAGGACGGCACAAAAGGGUAAAGUUUGGCCGACGGUUGGCCAUAAACUCGUUAAAUGGAAUGAACAUGCCGGAUUCUUUCAAGGCCAAACCAUGAGCUGCUCGGUAGGCCGAGCCAAGACAGGAAGAAUUGGCCGUAUCCUAAAAUCAAUAAAAACAAAAGGCAUCUAACUUUUCCUGCGUUUCGCUGUAGUUCAUCAUUUGGCUACCUGAGUGAAUACGUCAGCGUUAAAGACAUCGGCCAAAAUUUGCAAAAUGGACCGGUUGUUCGAAGCUCCACCUGUGACGAAUACUCGACAGCUUUCACCUACAAAACUUCUUUGUUUAUCGUUAAUCCUCCAAUGUAGCCGAUCAAGUCCACACACCUAUGUUGAAUCCCAAUUGUUCAGCGUGAACUCGCUUAGCUAAGAGCUGUCCUUCGACGAGGGCGCGAACUUCUGUGGCCGCCUCUUCGAAGGUGUUGACUUUCUGAUCGAAUGCGUUAAAGCGGAAUGUACCCUGGAUUUUCGGUGUGAUCUCUUGCUCGUCGUAAUACAUGCCAAUGUGACCAUGAUUUCCGGGUGGCGUGCAAGCUAAUAAAGCAUCAAAUUCAUCCCACGACCGAUGAGCGAAUACAUCUCGAAUGCGUUCGCGAGUAAGCGAUCCAUUUUUGAAACUAUUCCGUGAAAAAGACAAGUAUUAAUCGAUUUUUAAAAUAUUCGUCAUUCAAGUUCUUUACCAUAAUAAAGCCAUAUAAGCCUCUGGAUCAACUGGAUUGCAAAAGACAUGGCCCUCUAAUGAAGGUGUAGGUUUUCCACUGAGCCAGAGGAAGACCGUGUCACUAGUUCCCAGGCUUAUGGCAACAUCACCCGGUUCCAAACACAUUCCUAGUAAAGCGAAGAAGUUUUUAAUUACAGCGCAGUUGAAAAAUUUGAAAAUGAUUUCAAACUACCAGCUAGGGAUGCGGGAUUAUCGCCUGUGAAGACCACGACCUGGCAACUUGGGUCAAAGCUGUAGCGUUCAACAAAGUAAUUGGAAAUGGGUCCUAGACAUGUAUGAGUAGUGACUGGUUCACCCAACUUCUCUUUCAAAUCAGGGGCACACAUCUGCAAACAUCCAGUUAGAAAUGAGACAUUUUCACGCUAAUAAAAAUGUAAGAAUAGGACUAUUACAUGCAGACACUGCGAAUCCCAAUCCUUUAAAGUUAUAUCGAAUAAGUUCAUUCCUGAAGCAUCGGACCAAUCGAUGGGACUGUAGCAUCCGAGAAAAACAGAGCAAGCAAAACUGCUGACUAAGGAAAUUCUCUAAAACCAGAAGCGGUAUUAACCAAAUUUGGAUUUUAAUGUGAAAUAGGGCGGUACUCUUUAACACUAAAUACCUCUGUGUUGAAAUAAAGCUCGGCUUUCUCGCUUACAAUUUUUGCGAUUUGAUGCCCCGUGAAUCUCUCGUAAGCUCUGGAACCAGUCAGAUCAGCCAAUCUCUAUAACAGCAUCAAAGAUUUCAAGAGCAAGUUACAUAAUGUUCCUGCUAUGAUUGGAAACUAAAGAAUCACCUGAGGACCACCAAGUUUCUUUUCCAUUGUCUCACAAUAACUAUGUGUACUAGAAUCCAUCCACACUGGUGAGUCUUGGAUGCUGAAGCAGUUUGCUAGUUGUAGAAAUAAGAAUUUUGUUGGAUCUAAAGUAGGCAGCAGAUUCUGAACUCCCUUUCGCCAAUAAACACUGCCAUGUUGCUGUAACACAUUCACCAGAUAAGACAUUGUCUGUUCAUUUAUAUUUGUUUGAUUUAUGACAACUGUUGAGAUUUACUUGGCCAGAUCCUGAGAUUGCUGAAAUAUCUUGGAAGUCUAGGCCAGUAAUCUUAAGCUGGUCCAUUAGCAAAUCCAGUGCUUUCACCCACAUAACUGUUGGGGCAGUGACAGUUGAUCCAUUCUUCUUAACCCCACCACUUGUCCUAAGUAGUUAAGGAAUUGUUCUAGUAAAUCUAUCUUUCAAUAUAGUAUAGUAUAAACACCUAAAAUACUGACCUAUACUCAGGGAGGUUGCGAUCGAAAUUUACAGCUGCUUCAUGUAGGACUUCCAAUUUCUCAUCAACCACUACUGCUUUUAACUUAGACAUUUAAAGGUAAGCAAAAAAAGUAACAAAUAUAAAACUUAAGAAUGCAAAUGCAUGAAAUACUCUCUCACCUGUUGAGUGCUGAAAUCUAAGCCAAGAAAAUAGCUUUUCCUGGGGAUGGUUUCAGACAAAAUAUCUGGCACAUCCGACAUUUCUUAGUAGUGGGAUCCGUUGGUUAUAGAUGGUAGUGGGUACCUAGUCUUCCCAACCGUGACAGGAUGAUGACGUACGGAAGUUCAUGAUAAAGAGGACGACUCACCGCAUAAACAGAAACAGAAUCUCCUCCCCUCAUUUGUUAUUGUUAUUUUAUUCGUUUUUUUUUUACCACGUAUCAUCGUUGCCAAAUUUCUUCCGCUAUCGUGAGUGGAGUUUUUCUGAUCUCAUUCAUUUCUCAAGUUGAGAACUUGAAAAGUUUGAGUUGACUCAGGUGGGUCUCAACUCUCAAGAGAGAGUCACUCAUAGUCCUAUUAUUCUGGUUGAGAGUUGAGAUUCGUAAAUGAGAUGUAACAUUUCAAAAACGCAUUUUUAGUCGAUUCCAUCCAUAUCCCAUGUCUCAACUGAUUCUCUCAGCCAACUCACAAAACUGUCGACGAAACUUUCCUUUAGCAAGGAAAAGAACUCAUAUCUGCUCAUAUCAGAAAACUGAACCAAGGCUACCAAAUACCUUGUAACAAAAAAUGUGUUAUUUUCGUCCGUCAUGUUUAAAAACGGGAAGGGAUAGACCCCUUUACCUAGAAAAACCAAUCCAACCCACCCAACUGGAAAAGCAGUCUGUUGAUCGCCCCAAACUGAAAAUUUUUACGGCAAAUAUGUGGCCCCUAGGUUUAGCAAACUUGGGCCGAGCCCUAACUGCUUAAAAAAGAAAAAUAUCAAAAACAGCGUUGAAAUUUGAUUCUCGAAUAACAAUAGAGUCAGAGUUUGAAACGAAUAGGGCAACGAAUUGAAUACGGCUAAAAUUUCUUUGACAAACAAAGAAUAAAACAUCAAUUAUUCUUUGUUUUUAAUUUGAAAUAUUUAUUCAAAAAAUUCUAUCCGACAGCACGCACUUAUCGUUAUUGAAAGAGGGCUCGGCCCUAAUGGCUACAAUCGAGAGUGAUCGAGUGAAUUACUUCUCAAGCGGAGAGCAGUACGAAGUAAGCCCCGGAAACAUUAUCUUUUUAAAAUGGCGACAUAAAUGGCGCCAAAUUUAAAAAAAAAAAAGUUGGGCUUGGUUAACCUACGCGUAAAGUAAAACUCCUAACAGGCUAACAAGAAUCAAUUUUGUUGACAGAAAGACAGAAGCUUGCACCUCUUCCUUUGCAAAACAAUAUACCUCGAAUUAUGCAGGAAACUUUCCCAUUUUUUUGCUUUUCAUUUUGUUAAGCAACCAACGUGGGAGAAUCGUUAAAAGAGCAUCUUUAAUUGCAGUAUCUUAUCAAGACAAACUUCGCCGCCCAACGUUUUUCGUACUAGUGGCGUUGCUUACCUUUGGCUGGGCAAGUUCGAGAAUUGCAUUAUGUUGACUUUUCUAUUAUAUACGUAUAUAUAUACCCUUGACGAAAGCAUUAUGUUGAACGUUAACCUCAUCGCUGGCGGACACCCACUCGGCUGGAUGCAGUAUACACAUUUUCGGCCAAACAACAAAGGGUGAUAUAAAACAAUUCCAUGAGUGGUGCAAUUGUACUUUUCUCCCCUCGUUAUCAGCUCACUUUCCCGAAAUUCUGCUGAAUAGGUCAGUGAAAUCCUGCAGAAAUAAUUACCAAAAGCGUUUAUUUCGAAAAAUUAUUUUCCUUUCAUGUCAAACAGAACAGAA